AAAUUGAAGAGUUUGAUCAUGGCUCAGAUUGAACGCUGGCGGCAGGCCUAACACAUGCAAGUCGAACGGUAACAGAAAGCAGCUUGCUGCUUUGCUGACGAGUGGCGGACGGGUGAGUAAUGUCUGGGAAACUGCCUGAUGGAGGGGAAUAACUACUGGAAACGGUAGCUAAUACCGCAUAACGUCGCAAGACCAAAGAGGGGGACCUUCGGGCCUCUUGCCAUCGGAUGUGCCCAGAUGGGAUUAGCUUGUUGGUGGGGUAACGGCUCACCAAGGCGACGAUC
rnacentral:rRNA from 1 species